rnacentral:lncRNA from 1 species
GGAAGGCCACAGUUAUGAGUAAUGUAAUGUGGAAGCCGAUGCAAAGCUACUGCCCCCAUUUAUUUAGCAGGAGGCAGGAAAAGUGAUCUGGGGUCUCUGGCAGAAUAAGCGUGUUUGUAAAUAUUUGGGUGAUAUCAUGCAUUCCCCAUGCAUUGGUUUAGAGAUCUGGGGUCUCUGGCAGCACAAGAGUGUUCAUAAUUAUUUGGGUGACGUCAUGCAUCCCUUAUUUUCGUGAUGACUAAUAUUUUGAGAGGCUGAGCGAAAGCUGCUGAGACAUUGUAAUAAGUGUUUAGGGACAUAAGAGAUUAGGAAGGCCACAGUUAUGAGUAAUGUAAUGUGGAAGCCGAUGCAAAGCUACUGCCCCCAUUUAUUUAGCAGGAGGCAGGAAAAGUGAUCUGGGGUCUCUGGCAGAAUAAGCGUGUUUG